rnacentral:rRNA from 1 species
AGCAGCCGCGGUAAUUCCAGCUCCAAUAGCGUAUAUUAAAGUUGUUGCAGUUAAAAAGCUCGAGUUGAAUUUCGGGGUUAGUAGGUUGGUCAUGCCUCUGGUAUGUACUGGUCUCACUGAUUCCUCCUUCCUGAUGAGCCGUAAUGCCAUUAAUUUGGUGUUGCGGGGAAUUUGGACUGUUACUUUGAAAAAAUUAGAGUGUUUAAAGCAAGCUAACGCUUGAAUACAUUAGCAUGGAAUAAUGAAAUAGGACGUUCGAUCCUAUUUUGUUGGUUUCUAGGAUUGACGUAAUGAUUAAUAGGGAUAGUUGGGGGCAUUAGUAUUCAAUUGUCAGAGGUGAAAUUCUUGGAUUUAUUGAAGACUAACUACUGCGAAAGCAUUUGCCAAGGAUGUUUUCAUUAAUCAAGAACGAAAGUUAGGGGAUCGAAGACGAUCAGAUCCCGUCGUAGUCUUAACCAUAAACUAUGCCACUAGGGAUCGGAUGAUGUUAAUUUUUUAAUGACUCA